rnacentral:rRNA from 1 species
GAUGAACGCUGGCGGCGUGCCUAAUACAUGCAAGUCGAGCGAACAGACGAGGAGCUUGCUCCUUCGACGUUAGCGGCGGACGGGUGAGUAACACGUAGGUAACCUACCUAUAAGACUGGGAUAACUUCGGGAAACCGGAGCUAAUACCGGAUAAUAUUUCGAACCGCAUGGUUCGAUAGUGAAAGAUGGCUUUGCUAUCACUUAUAGAUGGACCUGCGCCGUAUUAGCUAGUUGGUAAGGUAACGGCUUACCAAGGCAACGAUACGUAGCCGACCUGAGAGGGGGAUCGGCCAAACUGGAACUGAGACACGGUCCAGACUCCUACGGGAGGCAGCAGUAGGGAAUCUUCGGCAAUGGGCGAAAGCCUGACGGAGCAACGCCGGGUGAGUGAUGAAGGUCUUCGGAUCUUAAAACUCUGUUAUUAGGGAAGAACAAACGUGUAAGUAACUGUGCACGUCUUGACGGUACCUAAUCAGAAAGCCACGGCUAACUACGUG